ACGGAAGGCAGCAGUGGGGAAUAUUGCACAAUGGGGGAAACCCUGAUGCAGCGACGCCGCGUGAGUGAAGAAGUAUUUCGGUAUGUAAAGCUCUAUCAGCAAGAAAGAAAAUGACGGUACUUGACUAAGAAGCCCCGGCUAACUACGUGCCAGCAGCCGCGGUAAUACGUAGGGGGCAAGCGUUAUCCGGAUUUACUGGGUGUAAAGGGAGCGUAGACGGCGAUGCAAGUCUGAAGUGAAAGCCCGGGGCUCAACCCCGGAACUGCUUUGGAAACUGUAUAGCUAGAGUGCAGGAGAGGUAUGUGGAAUUCCUAGUGUAGCGGUGAAAUGCGUAGAUAUUAGGAGGAACACCAGUGGCGAAGGCGACAUACUGGACUGUAACUGACGUUGAGGCUCGAAGGCGUGGGGAGCAAACAGGAUUAGAUACCCUGGUA
rnacentral:rRNA from 1 species